GUGUUUGCUUCAGCACCACAGAUGCUAAGAUUGGAACCGUGCAGAGAAGCCUAGCACGGCCCCUGUGCAAGGGUGACGUGCAAACUCGUGGUAGGUUCUGUGUUUUU
ensembl:snRNA U6 U6 spliceosomal RNA